UACGUAGGUGGCAAGCGUUGUUCGGAAUUAUUGGGCGUAAAGGGCGCGUAGGCGGUUUGUUAAGUCGGCUGUGAAAGCCCGGGGCUCAACCCCGGAGGGUCAGCCGAUACUGGCAGACUAGAGUACGGAAGAGGUAGCUGGAAUUCCCGGUGUAGCGGUGAAAUGCGUAGAUAUCAGGAGGAACACCAAUAGCGAAGGCAGCUCGCUGGGACGGUACUGACGCUAAGGCGCGAAAGCGUGGGGAGCGAACAGG
rnacentral:rRNA from 1 species